CCUACGGGUGGCAGCAGUGAGGAAUAUUGGUCAAUGGGCGCGAGCCUGAACCAGCCAAGUCGCGUGAGGGAGGACGGCCCUACGGGUUGUAAACCUCUUUUGCCGGGGAGCAACGGGCGUCACGUGUGGAGCCGCUGAGUGUACCCGGAGAAAAAGCAUCGGCUAACUCCGUGCCAGCAGCCGCGGUAAUACGUAGGGGGCAAGCGUUAUCCGGAUUUAUUGGGCGUAAAGGGAACGAACGCGGUCUUUUAAGUCUGACGUGAACGCCGUCGGCUUAACCGGAGUAGGGCAUUGGAAACGGGGAGACUUGAGUGCAGAAGAGGAGAGUGGAACUCCAGGGGUAGCGGUGAAAUGCGUAGAUAUAUGGAAGAACACCAGUGGCGAAAGCAGCUCUCUGGUCUGUAACUGACGCUGAGGUUCGAAAGCGUGGGUAGCAAACAGGAUUAGAUACCCUGGUAGUC
rnacentral:rRNA from 1 species